rnacentral:rRNA from 1 species
UACGUAGGGUGCGAGCGUUAAUCGGAAUUACUGGGCGUAAAGCGUGCGCAGGCGGUUCGCUAAGACCGAUGUGAAAUCCCCGGGCUUAACCUGGGAACUGCAUUGGUGACUGGCGGGCUAGAGUAUGGCAGAGGGGGGUAGAAUUCCACGUGUAGCAGUGAAAUGCGUAGAGAUCCGGAGGAACACCAGUGGCGAAGGCGGCUGCCUGGGCCUGGCCUGACGCUGAGGCGCGAAAGCGUGGGGAGCAAUCCGG